rnacentral:rRNA from 1 species
AACGAACGCUGGCGGCAGGCUUAACACAUGCAAGUCGAACGCGUGUAGCAAUACACGAGUGGCGCACGAGUGAGUAACGCGUGGAUAUCUGCCUUUUGGUUCGGAAUAACCCCGGGAAACUGGGGCUAAUACCGGAUGGUUCCUUCGGGAUAAAGAUUUAUCGCCAAAAGAUGAGUCCGCGUCCGAUUAGCGAGUUGGUGAGGUAAUGGCUCACCAAGGCGACGAUCGGUAGCUGGUCUGAGAGGACGAUCAGCCACACGGGGACUGAGACACGGCCCAGACUCCUACGGGAGGCAGCAGUGGGAAAUAUUGGACAAGGGGGGCAACCCUGAUCCGGCCAGGCCGCGUGAGUGAUGAAGGCCUUCGGGUUGAAAAGCUCUUUUGGGGGGGACGAUAAUGACGGUACCCGCAGAAUAAGCCCCGGCUAACUUCGUCCCAGCCGCCGCGGUAA